ACGGAGGGUGCGAGCGUUAAUCGGAAUUACUGGGCGUAAAGGGUUCGUAGGUGGUUAGAUAAGUCAGAUGUGAAAGCCCUGGGCUCAACCUAGGAACUGCAUUUGAUACUGUUUAACUAGAGUUUACUAGAGGAUUGGGGAAUUUCCGGUGUAGCGGUGAAAUGCGUAGAGAUCGGAAGGAACAUCAAUGGCGAAGGCAACAAUCUGGGGUUGAACUGACACUGAGGGACGAAAGCGUGGGUAGCAAACAGG
rnacentral:rRNA from 1 species